UACGGAGGGUGCAAGCAUUAAUCGGAUUUAUUGGGCGUAAAGGGCGCGUAGGCGGGCCUGUAAGUCAGAUGUGAAAUCCCGAAGCUCAACUUCGGAAUAGCAUUUGAAACUGCAAGUCUAGAGGGUAGGCGGAGAAAGUAGAAUUCCACAAGAUAGCGGUGAAAUGCGUAGAUAUGUGGAAGAAUACCAGUGGCGAAGGCGACUUUCUAGCUUAUACCUGACGCUGAGGCGCGAAAGCAAGGGGAUCAAACAGG
rnacentral:rRNA from 1 species